ensembl:snoRNA
UAUCUCACAAAACUACUCAAUUAAGUCCACCUUUUAUUCACGUAAGAAACAUGAACUCUUAUACAUGUGGGAUACAAUAAUGUUGGGCCAUUGUAAACUGAGGUAAGUGACUAUAUCAUCUCUUCUGCAUGGUCUGGACACUG